rnacentral:lncRNA from 12 species
GGCUACUUCAGGAGGCAGCAAUGUGGGAAGACACACCAGAUGCUUCUGACUUGAAUUGAAGACUCUCAGUAAUUUCACAGAAGAGUUGUUAAAUGACAGGUUGCAGGAAAGGACUGUGGAAAUUGUGCUGGGAGAAUAUUCACAACUGCAUAUUUGAAUAGCACUGAAUACUGAAUGAGGACUCUAGCAAAUCAGAGAGUAAUAAAUGUCUUUUUGGGACAUAAUGCUCUCAAACGCUCUGAGCAUCUG